GUGUUAUAUAAAAGGAGAAAAGGUUACUACUACCCUUAAUAAGGGUGGAAGUAGCCCUAGUGAUUUUAAAACACAUAUACAAUCAAGGUAUUGCUACGUACUUUGUGAGACCCAACCACGGUUUUUC